rnacentral:lncRNA from 10 species
GGUAGGGCUGGGAUCUGGGGUGCGCAUGGGGGCGGAGGCCAGUCCGGAUGGACACAGGAGCCUAUGGAGCGCGGAGACUGUGUGAAGGUGCAGGCGGUCGCCAGCAGCAAGGGGCACUCAGCAGCUCUGCAUCCCUGGACCGGAUCCCUCUCCCAGCCAGGCCCACUCCUUAGCCAGUCCGGAAGCUUGGAAAGACAGCGUGGGAUCCUGAGCCAGCCCUGGUCCUGCCAUCAGACAGACCUUGGUCAUCCUCCAGCUGGGUGACCGUGAGCCAGUUACCAAGCCUCAGUUUCCUCUUCUGUAAUACAGAUGCCUGACCCUGCGCCCACCUGAAAACGACGGGUCCAGAGCCACAGACAAGCUCUGAUGCAGCCGAGGCUUGGUCCUUGACUUGCCAGCUGAGACUACAACUAACAGUCCCACAGAACUUGGCCCCAUCAGCUCGCUGUAUUCCGAAGCCCAGGAAAAGGCAGAUGCUUCUGCUGUGAGUUGAUAGACAGAGGCAAGAUGCUGCCCCAGGAUGUAUUCUUCAUCUGAUUGUCUGAAAUCCCAUCUUCAGUGCUCUGUUUCUACUGCUCAGGUCAGCAUUUGCAAGAAUGUGUUCCACAAAACCCAAGUUCUGCAGGCUGUUAAGAAGUUGUGUGUAAAAGGCGGUUCCAUGGCCAUGUACUUGGGAGAGAUGUUGAACAGAGCUAAGCAGGACUUCCCAGGCAGGGCCUUGAGUAAUUUAAUAGGCACAGCGAUUCAUCAGAAGCGGGAGGGAUAAAGUCUGGAGUAUUUCCUAAGCUUGUUUGACAUGUAACCCUGUUCUCAUGGAGUAUCUUUUUGGACCAGUGCGAACGGAUCUAACUGUAUUCUAGCAGCUGCUGGUACCUCUGUCCAGG